AACGCAUAUUGCGCCCUCUGGUAUUCCGGGGGGCACACCUGUUCGAGCGUCAUUACAACACUCAAGCUCUGCUUGGUAUUGGGCGCCGCCCUGUGCGGGCGCGCCUCAAACUCCUCGGCGUCGCCGUCCGUCUUUAAGCGCAGCGAGAUCAUUUUCCAGCGUUUUCAAAGCCGGGCCUCGACCGCCGGACAACACCUUCUACUUUUCAAGGUUGACCUCGGAUCAGGUGGGGAUACCCGCUGAACUUAA
rnacentral:misc_RNA from 1 species